rnacentral:rRNA from 1 species
UACGGAGGGUGCAAGCGUUAUCCGGAUUCACUGGGUUUAAAGGGUGCGUAGGUGGGAAUGUAAGUCAGUGGUGAAAUCUCCGUGCUUAACAUGGAAACUGCCAUUGAUACUAUGUUUCUUGAAUUUUCUGGAGGUAAGCGGAAUAUGUCAUGUAGCGGUGAAAUGCUUAGAUAUGACAUAGAACACCAAUUGCGAAGGCAGCUUGCUACAGGGAUAUUGACACUGGAGCACGAAAGCGUGGGGAUCAAACAGG